UGCUUGGGCCCAUCGAAUCCCUCUCCUUUUGAGCGUGCUACUCGUCUCUUGUCAGCCUGUUAGAUAAGACAAGCCGCUCAGUGUAGGCAAUGUUAUUCGUAUUUAAAGGAAACAAAAGGGACUUCCUAUGUACGAGGAGAGCGUUUGAUAGGCCUGUUCAGACAACCCUGCGGAUCACCGCCCGAUGCUUGCGUCGCCGGUUGCGCAAAUUUGACGUCAGGAGAUUGGGAUAAAAACAUAUUGGAAUAGUUUUGCGUUAUAAGGCGCCUAUUCUGGUCCCAUCCUAACCUUGAUGUAUAUACGCAGACCAUCUUCUGAUGCUACCGACAGCGCUUUGCUAGCGGCAUUCUUCCCUAUUGUGGUUUUCACGCUACAUGCGCUGCCGAUCCAUUUUUGCACUUGAUAGUGAGUCCUUUGCUGCCAGCUGUGCUUUUCUCAAGACAAUGUGUCCCGUUUCUGCUGCUCUUGUAACCCCGUUAGUUUCGGCCAAAUCCACUCCACGUUCAUUUCAUUCCCUGCUGAACAACAUAUUCAACGUCAUGGCAAAAUUAAUUUUAUUGAAGUAAUUUCGACAUUAAAGCUUUAAAGGGUUUAAAAUAUUUGAGCCUCAUUCGUUAAUAAUAAAGCCAUGCUGGUGAAUUAUCUCCUUGUGUGUUUCCUGGCAUUUGUGGAUGCAAACAUGAGAAACAGAAAUUUCACACCAUGCGAACAACGGAUAAAUCAGUGCCCUCGAGGCAGCAUACCCAACUGCCUGGUUAAAGACAGGGUGAACGAACAUUUCGUAUGCUCCUCGGCGAGACAAGCAUGUUUCCUGCCAUGGUCUACACAUUGUGCAAAUUCCAGUGAUAUGUGUUGUACUCACUAUCCAACUCAUUGUGAAUGCCAUUGUGAGGUCAGGCACAGAUCGCCGCUUCGAAGUCCACCACAACAACGCCUGGGCAAGCACCGGAUGCCAGGAAGAUCCUAAACUUAUGAACUGCUCUUUGGCAAUGCUCAGAUCACAUCGUGUACUGGUGUUCAGGAAUACAAUACUGUAUGUUGAAACAGGAAUUAAGAGCGUUCGCACUAGCGUUCUAAUACUUCUAAAUCUUGUAGGUCUUCCGAAAAAUGGCAAUAGCGACCUCCUCGCUACGUUCAUUGUAAUGCAAAGGAGGAUUCUGUUUCUAGGGGUACAAGAUCGAUGUGUCUCGUUGCAUCUAUAAUGGCACGCCACCCACUGAAGCUUACUAAAGGCGCCGGAAAAUUUGUAAUGACAGUCUAAUACCCCUGUCACACUGGGAGUUUUAAUGUCAUUCGAAUCGAAUGGCAUUCGGUGCAACGAAUGUCAUUUGCCCGCGGAGGUGCUACACUCGAAAAAUUAAUGUCAUUCGGUGGCGAUAUCAAUGGCGAUAAUUCCGAAAAAUACGUGGCACCGAAAGUAGAACAAGGUAGGUAUAAAGUGCUUGCAUAAGCAAUCCAUAUAUUUAAAUGUAUUUUUGGGACGUCACUUCACUGAAAAAAAAUAUUUUAGUAAUGCCUAUAAAAAAAGGUUGUUCUAUUUGAGACCAUGUGGCCACUAUAAGCCAAAACAAGGCUUAGCCACCUGAGUAGCCGAUAAAUUGAAAACAAACAAAAUGGCUGACAUGACGAUGCUGGACGACGACGCUAAGCGAUUAGUUGCUGCGUACUUUGCAUUACGAGAAGGCGUAAUAAUCGGAGGAAGCGAUUAGGCGUUCUAUGGCCGACGAGCAGAGUGGCGGCGGCAUGGGCGGCGGCCAGAUGCUGCUGAGCUGGAGAGUAACAACAUUUUGCCACAGCCGGCCGCACAUAUUUUGCCUCUUUAUUAAAGUAACAAAACCAUUAAAACACGCAAACGUUAUUAUUUCUAUACGAGUACGGUUUUCAAUUUGCAAAUACUGUGUCCUGUUUUGCUUAGUUUCUAGGGUUGAGAGUACACAUUC